AGAUGUAUGAUGAAAAAGGUUAGAGUAGUAAUAGUUAUGAUCUUGAAACUCAAAAAAUUUGGCGGUAUUUUAGACUAUUCAGAGGAACCUGUAGCAUAAUUGAUAAUCCACGAUGGACCUUACUUAAGUUAGUUUAUUUCAGUUUGUAUAUCGCCGUUAUAUGAAGAUUUUUUAAGAAUAAUAAUUUUCAAUUAUUUUUAUAUAAAAAAUAAAUCAGGUCAAGGUGCAGCUUAUACUUAAGUGUUUAUGGGUUACAAUAAAUUUAUUUAAACGGAUUAAAAUAUGAAAUUUAAUUUUAUGAAGGCGGAUUUGAAAGUAAAUAUUUAAAGAUUAAAGUAUUGAUUUUAGCUCUARAAUAUGCACAUAUCGCCCGUCACUCUUGUUAAUAAUAUAAGAUAAGUCGUAACAUAGUAGAUGUACUGGAAAGUGUAUCUAGAAUGACAAUUUAAAACUUAAUUAGUAAAGUAUUUCAUUUACACUGAAAAGAUUAUUGUGCAAAUCAAUAUAAAUUGAUGAUAUAUAAUUAUUAAUUUUAUUAAUUUAUUUUAUUUUAUUAGAAAUAACUAUGAAUUUUUGUGUUAGAGUAUAUUAUAAGGAAUUAAUUAUUUUUAUUAUAGUUUAUUAAGUAAUGUGAAUGAAUUUUGAAAUAAUUGAAAAAUAUAUAAUUAUAAAGAAGA
rnacentral:rRNA from 1 species